rfam:Oryza barthii chromosome 6, whole genome shotgun sequence.
UAUAAAUACAGUCGUAGAUUUUCAUGUCCAACAUUAAACCGUUCUUAUUUUAAAAAAAAUAUAGUUAGUAUUUUUAUUGCUAUAAUAUGAUAAAACAUGAACAAUACUUUAUUUGUGACAAUUUGUUUUAAUUUUUUUAAAUAAGACAGACGGUUAAAUGUUGGACACGAAAACUCACAACUGCACUUAUA